CAAUCUGUUUUCUUGCUUAAAGGUCCAAUGUGUAAUACUGACAACUAGUGUUUAAAAUAGUUAGUGCAGUACAAAUUAAAAUACUGGACAGAGUCAUCGCC